rnacentral:rRNA from 1 species
UACGUAGGGUGCAAGCGUUGUCCGGAAUUAUUGGGCGUAAAGCGCGCGCAGGCGGUCCUUUAAGUCUGAUGUGAAAGCCCACGGCUCAACCGUGGAAGGUCAUUGGAAACUGGGGGACUUGAGUGCAGAAGAGGAAAGUGGAAUUCCAAGUGUAGCGGUGAAAUGCGUAGAGAUCGGGAGGAACACCAGUGGCGAAGGCGACUACCUGGACCAGCACUGACACUGAGGCACGAAAGCGUGGGGAGCAAACAGG